GGAGUUAGCCGGUGCUUCUUCUGUGAGUGAUGUCCUUCCUGCCGGCUAUUAACCCGCAGGCCUUCUUCCUCACUGAAAGUGCUUUACAACCCGAAGGCCUUCUUCACACACGCGGCAUGGCUGGAUCAGGGUUGCCCCCAUUGUCCAAUAUUCCCCACUGCUGCCUCCCGUAGGAGUCUGGGCCGUGUCUCAGUCCCAGUGUGGCUGAUCAUCCUCUCAGACCAGCUACGGAUCGUCGCCUUGGUGAGCCGUUACCUCACCAACCAGCUAAUCCGACAUAGGCUCAUCCGAUAGCGCGAGGCCCGAAGGUCCCCCGCUUUCCCCCGUAGGGCGUAUGCGGUAUUAGCCUGGGUUUCCCCAGGUUAUCCCCAACUACCGGGCAGAUUCCUAUGCAUUACUCACCCGUCCGCCGCUCGCCACCAGGGAGCAAGCUCCCCGUGCUGCCGCUCGACUUGCAUGUGUUAGGCCUGCCGCCAGCGUUCAAUCUGAGCCAUAAUCAAACUCUGA
rnacentral:rRNA from 1 species